UGGCGGCCGUAGCGCGGUGGUCCCACCUGCCCCCAUGCCGAACUCAGAAGUGAAACGCCGUAGCGCCGAUGGUAGUGUGGGGUCUCCCCAUGCGAGAGUAGGGAACUGCCAGGCA
rnacentral:rRNA from 1 species